AAAAAGAAGCGGCCGCGCCUAACCUUAGCCUUAGCCUUAGCCUUAGGUUAUGUAUCGAUGGAUUGGGUUGGUCCAGUUGCAAAGUCACGUUCUGUUGUCUUGUCGUGGUUUUGGUUUUAGUUUUAGUUCUAGUUUUAGUUAAACCUUUCGUUUUUCUGGCUCACUGUCUCUACUGCGUCUAACUCUCUGCCAGAUCUCAUUUUCAUUCAUUCUUCCCUCCCGGUUACAGUCGCACUCAGUUUGAUUCGAGCUAGAGCUUUAUUUUGCUUUGAGAUAUUGACUUCCCUACUCAAUUGUGCGGAGGCCUUUAUUUCUCAAUAUUUUAUGCGGUGACUCUACUUGAGUUAAGGCCAUGCCUGCUACAAAGAAGACUCCUGAGCACAAUCGUGUCGGGAAUGUUUUUAACAACUUGCUGAAGCAGAUUGGGAAUCCUGUUGAUUUCGAACUUCCAGAUUGGUUUAAUAAAUGGAAGCCAAUGCCAUACACCUUUAUAAGGCGAAAUAUAUAUCUCACAAAGAGAAUUAAAAGACGCCUUGAGGACGAUGGAAUAUUCUGUUCCUGUAGCCCAUCACCUGGAUCUUCUGGCGUGUGUGGUAGAGAUUGCCAUUGUGGGAUGCUUCUGUCUAGCUGUUCUUCUGGCUGUAAAUGUGGGAGUUCAUGCCUCAACAAACCAUUUCAGCACCGACCUGUGAAGAAGAUGAAACUGGUGAAGACUGAAAAAUGUGGCUCUGGAAUUGUGGCGGAUGAAGAUAUCAAGCAUGGAGAAUUUGUAAUAGAGUAUGUGGGAGAAGUUAUUGAUGACAAGACAUGUGAGGAAAGGCUUUGGAAUAUGAAACACCGUGGAGAGACAAACUUUUACUUGUGUGAAAUUAAUCGAGAUAUGGUAAUUGAUGCCACAUACAAGGGAAACAAGUCAAGAUAUAUAAACCAUAGCUGUUGUCCCAAUACCGAGAUGCAGAAAUGGAUAAUUGAUGGGGAAACAAGAAUUGGCAUAUUUGCAACUCGUGACAUAAAAAAGGGCGAGCAUCUGACCUAUGAUUAUCAGUUUGUUCAAUUUGGUGCAGAUCAAGAUUGCCAUUGUGGUGCUGCUGGCUGCAGGCGGAAGCUGGGGGUUAGACCUACCAAGCCUAAGAUGUCUUCGGAUGCUGCAUUAAAGCUAGUGGCAUACCAGGUGGCUGUGUCAUCUCCUAAACUGAAAGCAAUUCUGUCUGGAGAAGAUGUUUAUCAGAAUGGAGGUUUACAUGUAGGGAGUUCGCAUGUUAGUGAGCAACAAAGAACAUGCUCCCGUAAUUGUAUUGGUGAAGUUAUCAUGAUAACUCGCCCCAUGAACAAAAGGUCCUUUGGUAUUAUUAAACGUUUUGAUAAAUUUUCCAGAAAACACUCAAUCAUGUUUGAAGAUGGUGCUAUUGAAUUUCUUGACAUGACCAAAGAAGAUUGGGAACUUGUAACAUUGUGAUUUAAUUAUGAGGAUUUUGUUGAAGUAAAGAUACCACAGAUGAUAAUAAGCAUUUCUAACAUGUUUCACUGUAUCACUACUUCAUUGACCCGUUGCCUCCUCCAUUUCUCAUGAAACAAAGAUCCUUCUGUCCUGCACCUGACUCACAAGAAUGUUAUACCAAAUGUAGGAACCCUAGCUGUGCUCUCACAUAAAUAAGGAUUUGUCAUUCCCUUCACAGGGUUCACAAGAAUGCUGUACCAAAUGUAAUUUGUUCUUAAUUCUUCUAAUAAGGAGUUCAUAAGCUGAUUCCAUUGAAUAUAUAUGAUGCUUUUAUUUUUUGGUGAAGGGGGGAAUACUUGGCUGGUAAAGGCACCCCUCUGGAUUAAGUGUAAUGCUUGUGACACUACAAAUUCCUAUGAAGGUGGAGAACAUACACGCCUUGGGGAAUGCAUAGUUAUAUCCAAGAAAAUGAGAUCUUGUGCUGGGCACUUGAUUUCAAAGUCGACUUGGUUUGUAUUCUGUGUCUGAUAAAUGUCAUUUGGAUUAUAUGUUCUUAGAAUUAGAUUGAGUACAAGUAGUCUCCAUUUUUAGUUUUCAACCAAUGUCUUGAUGUUUCAUUUGAAUUUUGGCAUAAGGAGCUUGUUCUUUAACAA